rnacentral:rRNA from 1 species
GAUCCUGGCUCAGGAUGAACGCUGGCGGCGUGCUUAACACAUGCAAGUCGAACGAAGCACUUAAGAUUGACUCUUCGGAUGAUUUCUUUUGUGACUUAGUGGCGGACGGGUGAGUAACGCGUGGGUAACCCGCCUCACACAGGGGGAUAACAGUUAGAAAUGACUGCUAAUACCGCAUAACCCGAUAGGAUCGCAUGAUCCAGACGGAAAAGAUUUAUCGGUGUGAGAUGGACCCGCGU